UGCCCGAGUGGUUGAGGGGCUCGCUUGGAAAGCGUGUCGGGCGGCAACCCCUCGCGAGUUCGAAUCUCGU
rnacentral:tRNA from 1 species